UACGGAGGGGGCGAGCGUUAUUCGGAAUUAUUGGGCGUAAAGGGCGCGUAGGCGGCUGUGUAAGUCAAAGGUGAAAUCCCUCAGCUCAACUGAGGAACUGCCUUUGAAACUGCAUAGCUUGAGGCCGGGAGGGGGUGGCGGAAUUCCCAGUGUAGCGGUGAAAUGCGUAGAUAUUGGGAGGAACACCAGUGGCGAAGGCGGCCACCUGGACCGGUUCUGACGCUGAUGCGCGAAAGCGUGGGUAGCAAACAGG
rnacentral:rRNA from 1 species